GUCGUGGUAGCUUAAUUUCUAAAGCGCGGGCCUUUUAAGCCUGAUAUAAUUGUAUUGAUUCCACGGUU
rnacentral:tRNA from 1 species